rnacentral:rRNA from 1 species
GUGGUUGGUCACGUCUGCUGUGGAAACGCAACGCUUAACGUUGCGCGUGCAGUGGGUACGGGCUGACUAGAGUGCAGUAGGGGAGUCUGGAAUUCCUGGUGUAGCGGUGAAAUGCGCAGAUAUCAGGAGGAACACCGGUGGCGAAGGCGGGACUCUGGGCUGUAACUGACACUGAGGAGCGAAAGCAUGGGGAGCGAACAGGAUUAGAUACCCUGGUAGUCCAUGCCGUAAACGUUGGGCACUAGGUGUGGGGGGCAUUCCACGUUCUCCGCGCCGUAGCUAACGCAUUAAGUGCCCCGCCUGGGGAGUACGGUCGCAAGGCUAAAACUCAAAGGAAUUGACGGGGGCCCGCACAAGCGGCGGAGCAUGCGGAUUAAUUCGAUGCAACGCGAAGAACCUUACCAAGGCUUGACAUACACCAGACCGGCCUGGAAACAGGUCUUCCCCUUUGGGGUUGGUGUACAGGUGGUGCAUGGUUGUCGUCAGCCCGUGUCGUGAGAUGUUGGGUUAAGUCCCGCAACGAGCGCAACCCUCGUUCUAUGUUGCCAGCACGUGAUGGUGGGAACUCAUAGGAGACUGCCGGGGUCAACUCGGAGGAAGGUGGGGAUGACGUCAAAUCAUCAUGCCCUUUAUGUCUUGGGCUUCACGCAUGCUACAAUGGCUGGUACAAAGAGAAGCGAGCCCGUGAGGGUCAGCGAAUCCCUUAAAGCCAGUCUCAGUUCGGAUCGUAGUCUGCAAUUCGACUACGUGAAGUCGGAGUCGCUAGUA